UACGUAGGUGGCAAGCGUUGUUCGGAAUUAUUGGGCGUAAAGGGCUCGUAGGUGGCCAACUAAGUCGGACGUGAAAUCCCUCGGCCUAACCGAGGAACUGCGUCCGAUACUGCGGUGCUUGAGGAUCAGAGGGGUGCAUGGAAUUUCCGGUGGAGCGGUGAAAUGCGUUGAUAUCGGAAGGAACUCCGGCGGCGAAAGCGAUGCACUGGCUGAUUCUGACGCUGAGGUGCGAAAGCCAGGGGAGCAAACGGG
rnacentral:rRNA from 1 species